UACGUAGGGGGCAAGCGUUGUCCGGAAUCAUUGGGCGUAAAGCGCGUGUAGGCGGCUCGGUAAGUCUGCUGUGAAAGUCCAGGGCUCAACCCUGGGAUGCCGGUGGAUACUGUCGAGCUCGAGUCCGGAAGAGGCGAGUGGAAUUCCUGGUGUAGCGGUGAAAUGCGCAGAUAUCAGGAGGAACACCAAUGGCGAAGGCAGCUCGCUGGGACGUGACUGACGCUGAGACGCGAAAGCGUGGGGGAGCAAACAGG
rnacentral:rRNA from 1 species